CCUGAUGGAGCGGGAUAACUACUGGAAACGGUAGCCUAAUACCGCAUAAUGUCGCAAGACCAAAGAGGGGGACCUUCGGGCCUCUUGCCAUCACAUGUGCCCAGAUGGGAUUAGCUAGUAGGUGGGGUAACGGCUCACCUAGGCGACGAUCCCUAGCUGGUCUGAGAGGAUGACCAGCCACUACUGGAACUGAGACACGGUCCAGACUCCUACGGGAGGCAUGCAGCUGGGGAAUAUUGCACAAUGGGUCGCAAGCCUGAUGCAGCCAUGCCGCGUGUAUGAAGAAGAGCCUUCGGGGUUGUAAAGGUGACUUUCAGCCGGGGCAGGAAGUGUGUUCGUGGGUUUAAUA
rnacentral:rRNA from 1 species